GCCAGCAGCCAUAUCACCCUGCAGCUCUCAACUGGCUACCCACUGAAGCUAAGCAGGAUUGAGCCUGGUCAGUACCUGGAUAGGAGACCUCCUGGGAAGCUAUGGUUGCUGCUGGAA
ensembl:rRNA 5S_rRNA 5S ribosomal RNA